GGCCGAAUAGGAACAGCUCCGGUCUACAGCUCCCAGCGUGAGCAGAAGACGGCGAUUUCUGCAUUUCCAUCUGAGGUACCGGGUUCAUCUCACUAGGGAGUGCCAGACAGUGGGCGCAGGCCAGUGGGUGCGCGCACCGGCACCGUGCGCGAGCCGAAGCAGGGCGAGGCAUUGCCUCACCUGGGAAGCGCAAGGGGUCAGGGUGUUCCCUUUCCGAGUCAAAGAAAGAGGUGACGGACACACCUGGAAAAUCGGGUCACUCCCACCCGAAUAUUGCGCUUUUCAGACCGGCUUAAAAAACGGCGCACCACGAGACUAUAUCCCGCACCUGGCUCGGAG
rnacentral:lncRNA from 10 species